UACGUAGGCAGCGAGCGUUGUUCGGAAUUACUGGGCGUAAAGAGUGUGUAGGCGGUGUUCCCAGUCUGUUGUGAAAUCUCCCGGCUUAACUGGGAGGGUGCAGCGGAAACUAGAAUGCUAGAGGGUGGGAGAGGUAAGCGGAAUUCCUGGUGUAGCGGUGAAAUGCGUAGAUAUCAGGAGGAACACCGGUGGCGAAAGCGGCUCACUGGCCCGAUACUGACGCUCAUGUUCGAAAGCGUGGGGAGCAAACAGG
rnacentral:rRNA from 1 species